UUCUACCAAAUUGCUAUCAAUAUAUAAAGCAUCCAAAAUUAUUGAACAACCAAUAAAAACAUAUCUCAAAGUCAAAUAUUAUAAAUACUUUCAUGAAUACAAAGUUAGUUAAAUAUAUACUACACAAUACUUCAUUGUUCGUUAUCAUUGUACGCAUAUACAUACGAUAAAAAAGAAAAAGUAGAAUAUUAAGUGUCUUCAAUCUCCUCCUUGGUCAAUGCCGCUUGUGAUCACGUUUAAGAAACCUUGUCCCUGUUAUUAAGGAAAAAUUACACAUAAUUACUUUGACAAUCUCAUAAUUUAAAGAUAAUAGCAAAAAGGGUGAUCACACUUGAUUUAACUAUUUUAUUAGCUAUUAGGAAAAGAAAGUUUGAUAUCAAAAAGGCUAUAUAGGAAAAGCUACCAAUAUCAAAUACAUUAACCGCUAGAAGUAGAUCCAGAGGCAUUGGAAAUGUAUACUAACUCUUAAGAGCAACUCUAAAAGUGAAACAGAGAGUGCCAGGUUUAUUCACCCAUUCAACAACCCAGCAUUUCAAGUCUUAGUGGCAGGAUUUUCUUUAACUAGCAGAACCAACCAAGUGGAAUAAGUUAAUUCCUCUUAGAAAUGUUAUGACAAUCUAAUCUUAUCUAUCAUAUUUAUUGCUCCUUAUUUAUAUGAACCAUCAAUUGACCCAAGGAAGAGUUCCAAUAAAGCUAACAACUCAACAAAUUAAGCUAGUAAAGGGACGGAUUCAAAAGAGGUAACAACAUAUAGAAUCGUCAAUACAAAGAUGUCGUUUUCACUAUUAGUGUAUACCUAAUUUAUAAAUAUUCUUUGGAAAGGACUCUUAUAUGCAUUUAAACGUCAAAAGAAAAACUUAGAGAGUGAGGAAUAUUUCCGGCACAUAGAAGGUGAAGCAGAGACAAAAUACCAAACAUUUCUAUUAUGAGGCAAAAACAAACACGUUACGUACAAUUACCUAUUUUUUAAAGUGUAGGUAUCUUAAUUCCUCACAUUGUCCAAAUUUAGCAAGAAAACAAACCAAAGAUGACCAUCAGGUACUUCACAUAUAUAAAGUAGUACAAAAUCAAGCUUUUCGGAAUCAAGCACAACAUUUGAAGUUGUAUUUCGACUACAUUUAAGUCAAUAAAAUAGACUAUUCAAAAUUGCAAUAUGAUUUUUUAAACGACAUAUCAGACAUCAAUGGAUAUAAAUUCUCAAUGUGUCAACUCUAGUUGUAAAGACUUGAAAAUAACAUACAUAUUAUGCAAAAAGUGUCUUAUUAAGACCUAUAAUUUUCACUAGCAAGCAGUAACCAGUUUACCAAAGAAACUUUAAGAUGAAAGUUCACAUAUUAACACACACAUGCCAUCCUAACUAAGAACAUGUUUAAUAGAGUUUAGAUGAAAACAGACCCAUGAAGAUUGCAGUUUUACUCAUAGAACAUGUUUCCAGAUUUAUACAACUACUCAAGGUUAUGACAUAUUAAGGCAUAACAGGAAGCUAAUCAUAUUUCUUGAAGACCUGACUUAAAAAAAAGAAGAAGAUGUACUCCACAUUUUAAUCAUCAUUCAGUAAGUAUUCUUUUUUAUUUAGCUCUGCACCUAAAUAUAGCAUAGAACACCUACUGGUGAUGAGUUUUAUGUAUACAUGGGAAUAGACUCCAAACAACAAGUCAAAAAUAGUACAAAUAAAUGAAAAUCCCUUCAGGUCACUUAAUUUGUCAUAUCCUAAAUAAAUUCCUUGAGAAAUAUUUUAAUAGUAGCGAAGAAGAGCAGACCAAAUCAUGUUCUAGAUUGGAUUAAAAAACAUAGCUCGGCCUUAUGCGUCCUUCAGACGAGUAAUGUCCGUAGAAUUAUUAUGAUAAUAUUUUUCCAAGUUAUACACAUGUUCGUGCAUGGUAUAGUCGAGAAAAUAACAAAAUUUAGUUUUCUAUCAAAUUAGCUACUGAUUCAUGGCGUUUUACUAAAGCAUAGUUUCUAAGUCAUGGGUGAAAAAACUGAAGUCAGAUUUUCCAAUACAAAUAGAAUCUUUAGGAACAACAAUAAACCGUAUUUGUAUAGUCUCUUAAAUGGAAAAGAACCAAAAUACAUAUUAGCUAAAAGGAAUAAGAUUUUUCCUUAUACAAAUAGUAUCUCUUAAAUGGAAUAGGAUUUUCCAAAGCCAUGAUAUUUAUAGACAUAAUCAGAACUCAAAUGGAGUUAUGAAUCAAAACGAAGAUUAGCUUUGAUGAAAACACCCAAACCAAAGAACACCAUUGUAGAUUUCUGAAAAAAGUAUUUAUAAUGUAAGUCAAAUUUUCACUGCUCUUCUAUAUCAUAAGGGCAAUUUAUUAGUGUUGGCAUUCUAAUAGUGAAAGUUACUGCCCCAUAAUACUUUUAUUAUAAAUAUUAUAUCUAGUACAACUCCAACUUUAAUCUAAAGAAGAACAAAUAUGAAAUUCUUGACAACAUGUUUUUCAUUCAUUGAGUACUCACUAAAAUGAUUCAUUAGGCAUUGACAUCCUAGUGUAACCAAUGAAUCAAUUUCCUUUUGUGUGGCAUCCUAAAAGUAAUACCAAUAGUAAAUCUUAGAAGCUCCACUUAUACUCCCGUCUCCCCAAGGAAAGGCAGUAAAAUAUAAUGAAAGAAUGAAAUAAAAAAGGUAAUUAACUUUGUAAAGCCUAUGGCAAUUUAGUAUAUAUGAUCAAGCAAUAAAACAACUAUAUCCAAAAUUUGAACACCCCUAUAAUAAAUAGAGGCACAACAGAAGGCCCAAUCAUAGAUUAUAGAAGAAAAUAAAUAACUACAAAUCUUAUUGAACAACAUCAAUGAAUCUUAACAAAAACUUGUGACAUUUAUACAAUCAAAAGAAAGACUCUUUCUAUAAGAGCAGCAAUAUACGAUUGAUGGUAAAAUUAGCAUUCUACCCAUAAUGAAAAUCACUACAAUGAACAUAGACUUGCGAUACCAAACCGGCAAUAAAUCCAAAACAUUUUGAGCAUCCAUAAAUUAUACUAAUUGGGAAAUAACAUACAAACCCAUCACUAGAUCUGUCAUCAUCCUAUCCAUUCCACAAUUUCAUAUCAAAUUUCAUAUGCUCCUCCAAAUCAAAAACUAAAAUUGACAUUAACCCUAAAACUCAAGAGCAGAAGUUUCCAAGAAUCUUCAAAGAAAUCCAACUUCUCUGUUCAAUAAUACAUUUUUACCAGAUUUGAGAAAAAAAUCCAAACAAAAUAUAUAGUAUUAAAUAUCAAGUUUCAGCAACAAAAGUUUCCUAUCACACUCUAAAAAUCCGAAUUAAUACAGGCAUAAAUAAGGAAGAACGUUGAGAAAUAAACUAGAAAGUAAAAUACCAAAAAGAAAAUCUCCAAGUUGCAAACCUCAAAGGAAAUGAGGAAAAUACCUAAGUUCUAGGCGUACUGAAGAUACGUAAGUUCCUCUCCAAAAACAAAUAGAUUGCUUCCAUCUUCUAUUCCAUCUCUCAACUCGGAAUCUUCUCCAACAUCAACGAUUCGAGCUAUAUAGAGAGAAGGUGGGCUCUUAAUGGCUCUCAUGGAAACCAAUAAGAAUUUCAGAAGAAGGUGGUGAAGGGAUUUGGGAAAAUGGAGAGUUUUAAAUGGCCAUCAGAGUUCUAGGGUUUUGGCAGAAAGAGAUGAACGAUUUGGGUAAAUGAGAGAAAUAAAAAAAGACAGGAAGCAUUUACUUAAAAUUAUAGUUUUCUAAUUUUAUGAUGAAAGAAUUAGAG
rnacentral:lncRNA from 1 species